UACGUAGGGUGCGAGCGUUGUCCGGAAUUACUGGGCGUAAAGAGCUCGUAGGUGGUUUGUCGCGUUGUCCGUGAAAACUCACAGCUCAACUGUGGGCGUGCGGGCGAUACGGGCAGACUGGAGUACUGCAGGGGAGACUGGAAUUCCUGGUGUAGCGGUGGAAUGCGCAGAUAUCAGGAGGAACACCGGUGGCGAAGGCGGGUCUCUGGGACGGUACUGACGCUGAGACGCGAAAGCGUGGGGAGCGAACAGG
rnacentral:rRNA from 1 species